CCUCAUCACAAAUGCUGGAAGCCCACCAAUCAAAACCUGUCCUGCCAGCAUUUCCAUUUGCCAGCCUGUUCCCCCUGAUCUCUUAAAUUUUGCCCCAGAUCCUGAAUCGGGGAGACAGAUCUGAGGGCACAUGCCCCCUGUCUCUUUUCCCAAAGGCUGAUGCUGUUAUCAACUGGCCAUUUACGCGCAUCGGGCAAGACAGCCCCAAUUUUGUGCAGUAACAGCAGGUUUACACAGAAGGGAGCGUCGACACCGGACUCACAGAGCAAGCUGAAGUCUGAGGCUCUGGAUCAGAGUUUUGGAAGAAGGGGUUGAACACAAGUGGAACUGGUCUAGUCCAGGGCUUCUGAACGCUACAUUUUGGAGGAAGGCCAUCUUGGGAAGUUCCAAAGUACUUUGGAAAAGAUUAUGUUGAAAGGAAUUGGCUCACGUGGUUAUGGAGGCCGAGAAGUCCCACAGUCUGCCAUCUGCAAGCUGGAGAAUCAGGAAGGCUGGUUCUGAACCCAAAGACCUGAGAACUGGGAGAGUCGAUGUCUGAAGGCAGGAGAAAACGGAUGUCCCAUCUCAGAAAUACCCUCAUGGACAAAUCCAGAAAUAAUGUUGUACCAGCUAUAUGGACAUCCCUUAGCCCAGUCAAGUUGACAAUAAAAUUAAGCAUCACACAUGGCAAGAGGAAGUUUAUUAGGGGCUUCAGAUGUUUCGGCAGCAUGUUUUCAGGGAGCGAACGCAUCUUGGAAGUUUCUUUACUGAAUGCAAUUCAGAAGAGUCUCCAAGCACCAUGUGUGAGAGAACAUGACAGAAUAGAAACUGAUUAUGCAAAAUGUGCGAGAGAGAACUGCAGCUCUUGGUGACAUGUGGCAGCCUCGCUGGGAAAGGAGAGCUGUGGAACUCCGGGUACUGUCUCAAGCUUACUGCUGCCUGUCACAAGCUGAAUGGCAGGAGAGGGUUAAAAUACGAGUUUGUGGGCUGUUGCUCACGGCCUUCUGAGGCAUUCGCAUGCUGCACACACGUGCAGGAAGUUAUCCUGAGAGACCACGCUCAGCUGCAUUCUCACAUAGAGGUUCCCCCUGUUGUAUCAUCCUACCAUAAAGCUUCUGGCCUGGGUGGAAAAGAUGGAAGUGGUAUCUUCUCUCCACUUAGAAGAACUCUGUGAGCUAGAUCCUUCGAGCUUGGCCAGUGCUACACUAAAGGGCAAGAUAAAGAAUUUGAAAAACCUUCUCUCAAGAUAGUAGCUUGAAUGGCUUGGUUCAUACUUGGCUGCAUAAUCCCUUUGAAUAUCUAAAGCUGAAUAUUAUUAGUCUUUCUCUUUGAAUUCUAUUUGCAACAUAUUCUAUGUCUUCAGGUAGAUGGAUUCCUAGGGAGGUUAGAUGAAGGUCAUUUAUUUGUUAAGGCAAGAAAGGAAAUUAUGUCGAACUUUUUAAAAACAUGACCACUCUUUCAGCUAAUCUCUGCCUACUCGAUUCCAGCAGUUGAUUGUUGGCACGAUCCUGGAUAUCUAGUAGAUUAUAAACCUUCUGAGAGCAGAGAUCAUGUUGUUGUUGCACACCAAGCUCCUAGGACUCUACUUAAAGGAUUCAGUAAAUAUUUUUUGAAUGAACAAAUAAACCAUAAAAGAUCUGGAUUCUAUACCCAGGUGGAAC
rnacentral:lncRNA from 1 species